rnacentral:rRNA from 1 species
CGGCGGACGGGUGAGUAACGCGUAGGAAUCUACCCAGUAGUGGGGGACAACAUGGUGAAAACCAUGCUAAUACCGCAUACGCCCUAAGGGGGAAAGCGGGGGACCUUCGGGCCUCGCGCUAUUGGAUGAGCCUGCGUCGGAUUAGCUUGUUGGUGAGGUAAAAGCACACCAAGGCGACGAUCCGUAGCUGGUCUGAGAGGAUGAUCAGCCACACUGGAACUGAGACACGGUCCAG